GAAUUGUGCUUUUCAAAAGCUAAACUAUUGAAACAAUUUGGCAUCAGAAUUUGUCUCCAAGCCCACUGGUGGUUCAUCAAGAUGAGAUGCUCACCCAGAUU